UACGGAGGGGGCUAGCGUUGUUCGGAAUUACUGGGCGUAAAGCGCACGUAGGCGGCUUUGUAAGUUAGAGGUGAAAGCCCAGGGCUUAACCCUGGAAUUGCCUUUAAGACUGCAUCGCUAGAAUCGUGGAGAGGUGAGUGGAAUUCCGAGUGUAGAGGUGAAAUUCGUAGAUAUUCGGAAGAACACCAGUGGCGAAGGCGACUCACUGGACGACUGUUGACGCUGAGGUGCGAAAGCGUGGGGAGCAAACAGG
rnacentral:rRNA from 1 species